rnacentral:rRNA from 1 species
GCUCUGGCGGAUCAGUGGCGAACGGGUGAGUAACACGUGAGUAACCUGCCCCCGACUCUGGGAUAACUGCUAGAAAUGGUAGCUAAUACCGGAUAUGACGACUGGCCGCAUGGUCUGGUCGUGGAAAGAAUUUCGGUUGGGGAUGGACUCGCGGCCUAUCAGGUUGUUGGUGAGGUAAUGGCUCACCAAGCCUACGACGGGUAGCCGGCCUGAGAGGGUGACCGGCCACACUGGGACUGAGACACGGCCCAGACUCCUACGGGAGGCAGCAGUGGGGAAUAUUGCACAAUGGGCGCAAGCCUGAUGCAGCAACGCCGCGUGAGGGAUGACGGCCUUCGGGUUGUAAACCUCUUUUAGUAGGGAAGAAGCGAAAGUGACGGUACCUGCAGAAAAAGCACCGGCUAACUACGUGCCAGCAGCCGCGGUAAUACGUAGGGUGCAAGCGUUGUCCGGAAUUAUUGGGCGUAAAGAGCUCGUAGGCGGUUUGUCGCGUCUGCUGUGAAAUCCCGAGGCUCAACCUCGGGUCUGCAGUGGGUACGGGCAGACUAGAGUGCGGUAGGGGAGAUUGGAAUUCCUGGUGUAGCGGUGGAAUGCGCAGAUAUCAGGAGGAACACCGAUGGCGAAGGCAGAUCUCUGGGCCGUAACUGACGCUGAGGAGCGAAAGCAUGGGGAGCGAACAGGAUUAGAUACCCUGGUAGUCCAUGCCGUAAACGUUGGGAACUAGAUGUGGGGACCAUUCCACGGUCUCCGUGUCGCAGC